rnacentral:rRNA from 1 species
AACGAACGCUGGCGGCAGGCCUAACACAUGCAAGUCGAGCGAGGACUUCGGUCCUAGCGGCGGACGGGUGAGUAACGCGUGGGAACGUGCCCUUUGCUUCGGAAUAGCCCUGGGAAACUGGGAGUAAUACCGGAUGAGCCCUUUGGGGGAAAGAUUUAUCGGCGAAGGAUCGGCCCGCGUUGGAUUAGGUAGUUAGUGGGGUAAUGGCCUACCAAGCCGACGAUCCAUAGCUGGUUUGAGAAGAUGAUCAGCCACACUGGGACUGAGACACGGCCCAGACUCCUACGGGAGGCAGCAGUGGGGAAUCUUAGACAAUGGGGGAAACCCUGAUCUAGCCAUGCCGCGUGAGCGAUGAAGGCCUUAGGGUUGUAAAGCUCUUUCAGCUGGGAAGAUAAUGACGGUACCAGCAGAAGAAGCCCCGGCUAACUCCGUG